rnacentral:tRNA from 1 species
UCCUCCAUAGCUCAAUGGUAGAGCGUCCAACCGGCACCUGGAAGGUCAUGGGUUCGAUUCCCGUUGGGGAGCUCAGAA